GACAGACAUGACGCCUGUGAUGAUUCUAUUCAUGCCUUUCACAGACCAGGAACCUUGGGGUCCUGCAGCACAGCUUCUGCCUCUGACACUUUACUUGCUGGGAGGGCACCAAGAACCUUUGGAUCAUCUCCUAGAGUGGAAACCUGUGUGCCUUCAGCCUCUUCUGUCUUUCUGCAGCUUCGGUGCCAUUAGAGGUUUUCCUGAAAACUCUUCCUUUUCAGUUUCCCUGGAACUGUACUCCUUUGGAUUUCUUCUUUUUAUGAUUUAUCUUUGAAUUAUAAUCCUGACUUAGCUGCACUGCCUUCUGCCCAUGAAAUGUUCUACCUUUAAUCUUUUUUUUUUUCUCAGUACAUCUUUUUUUUAUAAACUUCAAAUAUUACUCUGGUGACUAUUCCUGCCAAUGUACAUCUUUAGUCCUGACCCCUCUCCUGAGCUAAGUGGUGGAGAACUCCACUGGUUGUCCCUCUGUUGUUCAGACUUAGUAUUAAACCAUACUCAUUCAUUCAUUUAUUUCACUCAGCACAUAUUUAGUAAGUAUCUACUACAUGUAAAAUAAAUACCAUUCUAGACACUAGGAGGGGGAAAUUCAAACAUGGAUCAAAUCCGAGCCUGCUCCUUAGGGGCUUGCAGUACAGAUUACGGGGAGAAAGUGAGAUAAGAGGGUAUCUGGGGAACUAGGAAGCUUUAUCAAAGUAAAGCUUUGAAUUCAGUCAUCAAGUUACAGAAGUGGUCUUAUGGAUAGGUCAAAGGAAGCAAAAUGACUAACGCCUGCGAAAGUGAAAGAGAAUGGAAAGUCUAGUUUGGACGGAGUGAAAUGGAGAAAGUGCAUAUCUGAUGAUUAGAGUAUCAAUAUGGGCAUCUUCAGAGAAUAAAGAAGGAGGGGCUAUGGGCAAUGGAAACUAGUAUUUAUGGAAUGUCUAUUCUGAAUCAGGCAGUAUAUUUUUCAGAUAUACCCUGCAGGCUGGGGUGAGAAUAGGGGUAAGAUGUAUUCCUGGAAAUGAAAGUUCUAUAAAGAGCAUAGUGGCUAUGAAGAUAUAUUCCUGACAGUGUAAUUUAUUACCUACCUAGGACCAACAUGUACGAUCAAGGGUUUAUCUAUUAAUAUCUUUAUUUUCUUGGCAUUAUUUGUAAUUAUUUUAGUAGUCGGUUUAGCUAAGCUUAGAAUAUGACCUAUAUCUGUUUGAUGUUCAAAACAGUCAAACUAUAGUAGUCUCCCUUUUUCUGUGAUUUCCUUUUCUGUGAUUUCCUAUGGCCAACUGCAGUCUGAAAACAUUAAAUGGAAAAUUCCAGAAAUAAAUAAUUCAUAAGUUUUAAAUUGCAUGCUAUACUGAGUAGUGUGGACUCUCAUGCCAUCCUGCUCCAUCUCACCUGGAUCAUGAAUCAUCCCUUUGUCCAGCAUAUCUACACGCUAUACUCCACAUACUUAGUAGUCACUGAAAUAACAGUCAAUGGUACUAACUUCUCAAUUAUUUGUUGAGCAACUAUCAUAAGCAGGUUGGUGCUAAGUUCCAGGGUUUCCAGUGGUGAACAAAACAGACAACACUCCAGCUCUUACGGGUUUACAGUCUGGUGCAGGCAGGCAGACAUUAAAUAAUCACAACUCCGGUUGUGAUUAAAAAAAAAAAAACUAUGAAGGAAAAAGUAUGAAGACAAUGUAGGAGGAACAAAUACUCGGCUGGGAAAUCAGGGAAGGCAACCUUGUGAAAGUAACUUUUACAGACAUUUGAAGUAUUGAGCAAAAGUUAUCCAGGUAAAGGUUGAAUGGAAAGUGGAGAGCGCUGUUCAGAUAGCAGAAAUGGUGUGAGCAAAGACUCUGAGGCAGAAAGGAGCUCUGUGCUUGAGAAACAGAGAAGACUAUAUGGCUGCACCACAGUGAACCAAGAGAGACAUGCCCAAGGGGUAGUAGGAACCAGGCCAUAUGUGGCUUUGUGGCACAUGUUUGGGAUUUUGAACUUUACCUUUAGAGGACUGGCAAGUCAUUGAAGGAUUUUAUAUAGGAAAUGACAUGAACAUAUUUGUGUUUUAAAAAAGGUCACUUUGGCUGCUAUCUGGAAAAUGAGUUAUGUAUUAGAGGUCAUGGUAGGCAUAAUAAUGGCCUCCCAAAGAUAUCCACAUCCUAAUCCCCAGAAUCUGUGAAUACCUUAAAUUAUAUGGCAUAGGGGAAGUAAUUAGCUAAUCAGCUGACCUUAAGAUAGGGAGAUUAUUUUGGAUUAUUUUGGGAAGUGAAAUAACAAGUGUUCUUAAAAGUAGAAUUUAGGGACAAAAGAAGUGGAAUAAGGGAAAAAGGGUCAAAGAGAUACAGUUGGCUUUGGAGAUGAAGGAAGGGGGUCACAAGGUGUGUGGGUAGCUUCUAGAAGAUCGAAGGCCAUGAAAAUAGAGUCUCUCUUACAACCUUCAGAAGGAAAUCAAACCCACCUUGAUUUUAACCCAUUGAAACCAAUGUAAAACUUCUACAGAAGUGUAAGAAAAUAAAUUGGUGUUAUUUUAAGCCACUAAGUCUGUGGUAAUUUGUUCCAGCAGAAACAGAAAACUAAUACAGAGGGACAUUAGAGGCUAAGGGAAGACCAGCUGGGAGGCUACAAUGUAGUCCAGAGUGGAGAUAAAGAUGAUUUGGACAAGUGGGUAUGUGGGGAGAGAGAAAUAGAUAGUUCAAGCUCCACCUUGGAUGAUGAGUGUCAGGUUUCUGGCACAGGCUACCAGGAAGAAGGAGAUGUUUUCCCUGAACUGGGGCAGACCGGAAAAGGGAAAGAAAUAUGGAGGAUAUCAAUAGUUUGGUUUUGGACUCACUAGUUUGAUGUGCCUGUGAGGCAUUAAGAAGGCGGUUGGGUUGGUGGGUGAGUCUGGAGCUGAGAAGAGAAGGCUAGCUAGAAAUUGAAAUCUGGGCCUCAGCAUCUGUAGAUGGCCUUUAAAAUUGUGAGAGUAGAUGAGAUACCUAUGACAGUGUUUUCAAACAUUCAGAACCCAUGCAGACAACUGAUUUUUAAAUAAUACAGCGGUAUUUUUCAAAAUUAAUGUUUUUAUUCUCAUUGAAAGGAUGAUUUUUCAUAGCUUCUUACAAAGUAUUUGUAUCUAAUUUGAACAUAGGUAGCUUGAGAUGUAGGUUAGACCCAGACACUUUGAUUUUUUUUUUACCCUGUAUUUCUACUAAAUUAGGAAAUACCAUGCUACACUGAUAGAUUGUCAAGAAUUGCAACUUGUGUUUGCUGGCUCUAUCAUCUGUUUGGAAUAUUAAGUUCAAACACAGACUGAGAACUUUUGUGAAGAUUUCUCCCUGAAGACUAUUUCUAGUACUCUUUCAGUCACUACAUUGACAAGCUUAUAAUAUUAAACAAUCAUAAGGAUGAAUGUUUCAACCAGCCUGAAUGUUUGAAAGAUAGGAGCAAAUUGAUUCUUAAACCAAUUUUUGACUACUUCAGUCUCUGGAAAGUAUUUUCUCAUGUUUUGUUGUAACAUUUAGAUGUGUUCUUUAUGUAUCAACAAUAGUGUAAUCAGUCUCAUUCUCAGAUGAGUGAAGAAACCACCAGAUUUGGGGAAGGAAUCACAUUAUAGCAAUUGAGCCAUUUGCACCAUAGUUUUGUGACUGCAAAAUGUAGUGUUUUAUUCUCAGCAUUAAAAAUCAGCCUUGAAGUAGGGGAAUUCAGGUUAUUUAAAAUUCUAAAUAUGUAUCUGCUAUACUCCAUUUAAUCAGGCCUUUGGAAAACAUAGGAUUACUUCAUUGGUAUUGAUGAUCUUCAGCAUCAUGAAGAAAUGAUUUUUUAUCUCAGCCCUCAUUUUAGAAACUCUGAUCAACACUUUUUUCCUUGACAGCCAGCAAACUCGAUUGGGAAGAAUAUUCUUGCAAACACUGCUGUUUAUUUCCACAGCAUCUGAGAGCAUGCACUCUGAGUAGUCAAGAUUUGAUGAUAGUCAAUUUCUGUUAUUUCCUUCAACACUUAAUCAUAAUUAAGAAGCAUAUUAUUGACUCCUUACUGUUCCAUGAAUUUAAAGAAUCGUAGUAAUAUAUUAAUAGCAGGAUCCUUUGUUGCUAUUUCUAUAGCUCAUUCUUUUUCAGUAUUGAAUGUGUUGUACCUUUUUUCAACUCAUGUCACAGCUCACAAAAGUAUCAUUGUCUAAAUAAAAACUGUCUUCCCUUG